CAAUAGCGUAUAUUAAAGUUGUUGCGGUUAAAACGCUCGUAGUUGGAUUUCUGUUGAGGGCAGCCGGUCCGCACUUCGUGCGUGUAUCUGGUUUGACCUCGGCAUCCUCUCAAAAUACGUUUCUGCGCUUGAUUGCGUGGAGCGGAGUUUGAGACUUUUACUUUGAGGAAAUUAGAGUGUUCACGGCAGGCAAUCGCCUUGAAUAUAUUAGCAUGGAAUAAUAAUAUAGGAUCUUGGUUCUAUUUUGUUGGUUUCUAGAGCUAAGAUAAUGAUUAAUAGGGACAAUUGGUGGCAUUCGUAUUAACGCGUCAGAGGUGGAAUUCUUGGAUUGCGUUACGGCGAACUACUGCGAAAGCAUUUGCCAAGGAUGUUUUCAUUGA
rnacentral:rRNA from 1 species